rnacentral:rRNA from 1 species
ACGAACGCUGGCGGCGUGCUUAACACAUGCAAGUCGAACGGGAGUAUUGAAGAAGCUUGCUUUAGAGAUACUUUAGUGGCGGACGGGUGAGUAACGCGUGAGGAGCUGUCCUAUGCAGGGGGACAACAGCUGGAAACGGCUGCUAAUACCCCAUAAGCCGAGAAGUAAAAGGAUCAAUCCGGCAGAGGAGGUACUCGCGUCCUAUCAGCUAGUAGGUGAGGUAACGGCUCACCUAGGCGAAGACGGGUAGCCGGCCUGAGAGGGCGAACGGCCACACUGGAACUGAGAUACGGUCCAGACUCCUACGGGAGGCAGCAGUGGGGAAUAUUGGACAAUGGGCGAAAGCCUGAUCCAGCAACGCCGCGUGAGCGAUGAAGGCCUUCGGGUUGUAAAGCUCUGUUAAGGGGAACGAAAAUGGGCAACCUAAUACGUUGUCAACUGACGGUACUCCUAGAGGAAGCACCGGCUAACUCUGUGCCAGCAGCCGCGGUAAUACAGAGGGUGCAAGCGUUGUUCGGAAUCACUGGGCGUAAAGGGUGCGUAGGCGGUAAAGUGUGUCUGACGUGAAAUUCCUCAACUUAAUUGGGGGACUGCGUUGGAAACUGCUUUGCUAGAGUGCAAGAGGGGAUGGUGGAAUUCCCGGUGUAGAGGUGAAAUUCGUAGAUACCGGGAGGAACAUCUGGGGCGAAGGCGACCAUCUGGCUUGACACUGACGCUGAGGCACGAAAGCGUGGGUAGCAAACAGGAUUAGAUACCCUGGUAGUCCACGCCGUAAACGAUGAUAACUAGGUGUCGGAGGAAUUGACCCCUUCGGUGCCACAGCUAACGCAUUAAGUUAUCCGCCUGGGAAGUACGGUCGCAAGACUAAAACUCAAAGGAAUUGACGGGGGCCCGCACAAGCGGUGGAGUAUGUGGUUUAAUUCGACGCAACGCGAAGAACCUUACCUAGGCUAGAAAUCUGCAAGGCGAUUGGUGGAAACAUCUUUCUCUUCCCGCAAGGGAAGUUUGCAGACAGGUGCUGCAUGGCUGUCGUCAGCUCGUGUCGUGAGAUGUUGGGUUAAGUCCCGCAACGAGCGCAACCCCUGUCCCGUGUUGCCAUCAUUAAGUUGGGAACUCUCGGGAGACUACCGGCGUCAAACCGGGGGAAGGUGGGGAUGACGUCAAGUCCUCAUGGCCCUUGAUGCCUAGGGCUACACACGUACUACAAUGGUCGGUACAAACCGCUGCAACCUCGCGAGAGGAAGCUAAUCGGAAAAAGCCGGCCUCAGUUCAGAUUGGAGGCUGCAACUCGCCUCCAUGAAGUUGGAAUCGCUAGUAAUCGCAGAUCAGCAAGCUGCGGUGAAUACGUUCCCGGGCCU